rnacentral:rRNA from 1 species
AUAACAACUCCGGUUGAUCCUGCCGGACCCCACUGCUAUCGGGGUGGGACUAAAACAUGCGAGUCGAGCGCCUUCAAGCUAUGGUGAAGGCGCGGCGAACGGCUCAGUAACACGUGGCUAACCUACCCUUUGGACGGGGACAACCCCGGGAAACUGGGGCUAAUCCCCGAUAGGUGAGGAGGCCUGGAAUGGUUUCUCAUCUAAAAGGCGUUUAGACCAUGCUUCUAGGCGUCGCCAAAGGAUGGGGCCGCGGCCGAUCAGGUUGUUGGUGAGGUAACGGCUCACCAAGCCUAUAACCGGUACGGGCCGUGAGAGCGGGAGCCCGGAGAUGGGCACUGAGACAAG